rnacentral:misc_RNA from 1 species
CCAAUAGCGUAUAUUAAAGUUGUUGCAGUUAAAAAGCUCGUAGUUGAAUUUCGGGGUUAGUAAGUUGGUCGUGCCACUGGUAUGUACUGGCUUUACUGAUUCCUCCUUCUUGUAGAACCGUAAUGCCAUUAAGUUGGUGUUGCGGGGAAACAGGACUGUUACUUUGAAAAAAUUAGAGUGUUUAAAGCAAGCUAACGCUUGAAUACAUUAGCAUGGAAUAAUGAAAUAGGACGUUCGAUCCUAUUUUGUUGGUUUCUAGGAUUGACGUAAUGAUUAAUAGGGAUAGUUGGAGGCAUUAGUAUUCAAUUGUCAGAGGUGAAAUUCUUGGAUUUAUUGAAGACUAACUACUGCGAAAGCAUUUGCCAAGGAUGUUUUCAUUAAUCAAGAACGAAAGUUAGGGGAUCGAAGACGAUCAGAUACCGUCGUAGUCUUAACCAUAAACUAUGCCGACUAGGGAUCGGAUGAUGUUAAUUUUAUAAUGACUCAUUCGGCGCCUUACG